ensembl:lncRNA
CGGAGACCUCGCGGGCCUCGGGGAGCCGCCGCGCACAGGCGGGCGGGAGACAGCCUCAGCCACCCUUGCUGCCUCGCUCAAGGCAGGCAGCAAUGCCGGCUGCUGCACCCUGGCGUGCGGCAGUAUCUUCUAAUGCCCCCAAGCUGCUGCCCUCUCUGCAAGCAGCAGCCUCUUUCGCACCUUCUCGAAGAGGAAGAGCACAUGCUGUGGGUGUUAGUGGCAGGAGACUCCCAGAGAUUGCCCCAAGACGUCAGGGAACCUUGCAUGUCCAGGACAGAACAGCAAGAGCUGAGAGCCGGGGUCCAGCUCUGGAAGUCUCCUCAACUAUUCUUGUGCCUUCGCAUGCCAGACCCAGGCAAAACUUCGUGGUGUCCCUGAGCUGUGCUGCAGCUGGAAGCCCACGAGUUGGAGUGCAGCUGACCGUACCAGGGUGCCACGCACCCACCAACAGCCUGAGAACACCAGCCAGAAUGGCUGCCAAGGCUGGUAAGAUCCACACAGCUCAGGAGGGCACCAGAGACACUCGUGCGGCUGCUACACCAUGUUCCAGAUCAGCUCAGAAGGGCCCAGAAGGGCAGGCAGGCAGCAAAGAGCGAGACAAGGAGCAUCUGCCCACAUUAGUGCCUGAAGAUCCAGGCAACUUAGAUUCUUCCAAGGCUGCACACUCUCCAGAGGAGGCCAAUAAUACAGUGCUCUUCCCAAGAGUGUGUGAGGGGGGAGAAAGGGAAGUAACUGCUACCACCGUGCCUGAAGUCUCCAAACAAGCUCUGGGAGCAGCACUGAGACUGCAGGAUCCCGAAGGGAUCAACCGGGAGGUCUAUGGGUGUUCUCCAGUACACCCAGCAAUCCAGAGAAUUUCUGAUGAGGCGAGGAAGGAGCAGAUAUUGUCCAGCUGGAACAUCUCCUGGCCAAACAACGUGAGCAUGCUCAGGCUGCUAAGACCCCAAGCAGCGUGUGUCAGUGCCAGUGCUACUGACACAGCUCAGGGCAUGCUGGACAUCUGCACCACGACAUCGAGGGUGGAGGGCCCCUUUCCUGCCCCGGGAGAGUUCCAAAACUGGGAUGUGGCAGUGCAGGAUAAUCAGCAAGAUUUGGAAGAGAUUGCUGAGACAGAAACUGCAGGACAGUCAUCUGGUGACCUGCAGAGUGCACGUCUUGCCUUGUCUGCUGUGGCAGAACAAGUUCAUUCAGCUUCUCUUCUGGGCGCAGGUCCUGAGCCUGCAGGAUACCUUGGGCGUUUGCCCGCAUUAGUUCCUGAGGACACAGAAAACUCAGGCUGUUCCAUGGCAGCGCACUCUCUGGAGGUGGCCAGUGAAGCACCCUUCUUCCUGUCAUUGUGCGAGGGAAAAGAAAGAGAAGAACCAGCUAUGGCCAUGCCUGAGUCCUCCGGGCAAGCUCUGGGAGAACCAUCAAGACUGCAAGAUCCCAGAGAGAUCUACUGGAAGGCCUAUGGAUGUCCUCCAGUUCACCCAGCAAUCCGCAGAAUCCGUGAUGAGGCAAGGAGGGAGCAGAUGUUGAGGAUGCAGAGGAACAUCUCUGAGCCAUACAGUGUGAGCUUGCCCAGGCUUCUCGUGCCCCAAGCAGCACAUGACAGUGCCAGUGCUGCCAACACUACUUGGGGCAUGCCGGCCAUCUGUGCCACGACAUCGAGGGUGGACGCCACAAGACGCCACUUUCCUGCAUCUUGUGACUCCCAAAAUCAGGAUAUUAGAAUUAAACAUGCACAGGAAGAGACCACCGACAACGCUGCCAGUGAUGCCAGCACUGCAGUGAUGGCUGAGAGCAUGCCCACCCCCUCCUGUUUUUGCCCUGAUAUCGUGGAGGGUGUGGAAGAAGAAUGGGAAGAUAAUUGCGAGGAAGAUGCUGCUGAGGCAGCCAGUGUGCCACCAAGCAUUUCUGGUUCCUCAUCUGGUGAGGUGAAGACCACGCCUUCAGCUUCCCCUGUGGCUGCAGAACCCAGACCCGAGGGACAUUCAUCUGCAUGCAAAGGAGCAGAAACUACAGGCAAUCAGCACAAGGUUUCUGCAGAGGGCAGAGGAGAUGCACAGAGCUCCGGCUGCUUCAGAGAUGCACCAGAGGAUGGCCCUGGUACCGCUGCUGCACCACACGCAGCAGCUCGCCACCAGGUGCCUACUGUCAUCAGGAAUGCACUUCGGGCUCUGAGCAGGAUUUUCACCUGCAGCUGCAUCAGGGGACAGCGAGAGGAGAGGCACGAGGCUGCAAACACCAGGCAGCUCCCCAGAGAUGUCUGAUUCCAUCCUGUCCAUUGGGAAUUCUGAUUAAAUUGUCUUAACUCUCCUGGCUAAGUGCUGUCUGAUCUGAGCGCUCGUGCGUGUUUGGACUCUGAGUGCAGCUACUGGGGUCAGAGCACAGGGUGGAGGAUCCCUGUGUCAGUGGAGCCAGCAAGUGCAGAGAGUGUGGGCGUGCAAGGCCAGUGAAGAGUGAGCCGGCUGAGCCAGUGUGUGUGUGUGUGUGAGAUCCCCUGCGGUGAAGUGGCUGAGAAAGACUAUCCCCAGCCCGACACAGGGCUGCCACGCGUGCAGGACCGCCGGCAGGUGCGGGCUGGGGAGGGAGGCGGAG